AGUGAACGCUGGCGGCGUGCUUAACACAUGCAAGUCGAACGAGAACGGGAUUAGCUUGCUAAUCUGUCAGCUAAGUGGCGCACGGGUGAGUAAUAUAUAGGUAACGUGCCUUCAAGAGGGGGAUAACAGAUGGAAACGUCUGCUAAAACCCCAUAUGCCUUUAAUGCGAAAGUAUGCAAGGGAAAUAUUUAUAGCUUGAAGAUUGGCCUGUACAGUAUCAGAUAGUUGGUGAGGUAAUAGCUCACCAAGUCAAUGACGCUUAACUGGUUUGAGAGGAUGAUCAGUCACACUGGAACUGAGACACGGUCCAGACUCCUACGGGAGGCAGCAGUGGGGAAUAUUGCACAAUGGGGGAAACCCUGAUGCAGCAACGCCGCGUGGAGGAUGACACAUUUCGGUGCGUAAACUCCUUUUAUAUAAGAAGAUAAUGACGGUAUUAUAUGAAUAAGCACCGGCUAACUCCGUGCCAGCAGCCGCGGUAAUACGGAGGGUGCAAGCGUUACUCGGAAUCACUGGGCGUAAAGAGCGUGUAGGCGGAUAGAUAAGUCAGAAGUGAAAUCCAAUAGCUUAACUAUUGAACUGCUUUUGAAACUGUCUAUCUAGAGUAUGGGAGAGGUAGAUGGAAUUUCUGGUGUAGGGGUAAAAUCCGUAGAGAUCAGAAGGAAUACCGAUUGCGAAGGCGAUCUACUGGAACAUAACUGACGCUGAGACGCGAAAGCGUGGGGAGCAAACAGG
rnacentral:rRNA from 1 species